GACGAACGCUGGCGGCGUGCCUAAUACAUGCAAGUUGAGCGCUGAAGGUUGGUACUUGUACCAACUGGAUGAGCAGCGAACGGGUGAGUAACGCGUGGGGAAUCUGCCUUUGAGCGGGGGACAACAUUUGGAAACGAAUGCUAAUACCGCAUAAAAACUUUAAACACAAGUUUUAAGUUUGAAAGAUGCAAUUGCAUCACUCAAAGAUGAUCCCGCGUUGUAUUAGCUAGUUGGUGAGGUAAAGGCCCACCAAGGCGAAGAUACAUAGCCGACCUGAGGGGGUGGUCGGGCAACAUGGGAAUGGAAACCGGCCCCAGCUCCUACGGGAGGCAGCAGUAGGGAAUCUUCGGCAAUGGGCGAAAGUCUUACCGCGCAACGCCGGGGGGGUGAAGAAGGUUUUCGGAUUGUAAAACCCUGUUGAUUGGGGAGAACGUGGGGGAGAGUGAAAAGUUCAUCAAGUGACGGUACCUACCCAGAAAGGGACGGCUAACUACGUG
rnacentral:rRNA from 1 species